AAACAAGUUGACUUGCAAAGACCUGAUGCCCUAAAUAUAACGAACCCAGUUGCAUGUAAAAGAUUCAUUGAAAGACUGAAAAAGUUCAAAUACAUGGAUUGGAAGGCUAUUGACCCUACAUGUUUAGAAUAUAUAAUGACGCCAGCACUAAUUGGAGAUCCGGGUUUUCAUUAUGUAUGCUUCGUUGUGAAUCUCAAGAGCCAAAAAUUUCAAUUCCUGAACAGCUUGAAAGGAGAGACAUUGAACAUGAAGAAUGGCGAAGCAACUCUGUACAAGAAGAUGUUUGAUGUGUAGCUGAAGGAGGUGGAAGCAUUUGUGACAGAAUUGUAUAAGAAAAGAAUAAUCACAAUGCCUUUCCAGUUUAGCACAUUCAAGUGGGAAACACCAAAGAUGCCUAAUCAAUGUGAUAAAGACAGUUGUGGAGUCUUUUGCAUGAAGUUUCUUGCUGAAUGGGAUGGUGGCAUUACCGAAAUGGAAUCGUUCAAAGAUUGGUCCAAAACGAGAAAGCAUGGGAAGAAUGGCAGGGUUGCAAAAACUAUGGAUUUGAGAAUUGGAAUUUGUUCAACAAUAUUAAGCGACUCAAGCAAUAGCAAAAGAAACUAUGUGGAGAAGGCAGUAACUUCAUACUAUGAAGAAUUGCUUCAAAAGCUAACACCGGAUUAGUGUUAAUGUUUUUUUUUUUAAUUGAGUUUGUAUAAAGAUGUUUAUGAAUUACUGAAUCUGUGUCAAGUUUAUGAUGAA